GUGAUGUGGCUCAGAGGUACAGCACUUGACUAGCAUGUGUGAGGUCCUGGGUCCAAUUCUCAGUACACA
rnacentral:tRNA from 1 species